rnacentral:rRNA from 1 species
UACAGAGGUCUCGAGCGUUAGGCGGAAUCACUGGGCUUAAAGCGUGUGUAGGUGGAUCGUUAAGUACCUUGUGAAAUCCCUCGGCUUAACCGGGGAACUGCGUCUGAUACUGGAUGGCUUGAGUUCGGGAGGAGGGAUGCGGAAUUCCAGGUGUAGCGGUGAAAUGCGUAGAUAUCUGGAGGAACACCGGUGGCGAAGGCGGCAUCCUGGACCGACACUGACCACUGAGGAGCGAAAGCCAGGGAGCAAAGCGGGG